rnacentral:rRNA from 1 species
GAGCGGCCGAUGUCGGAUUAGCUAGUUGGUGAGGUAAAGGCUCACCAAGGCGACGAUCCGUAGCUGGUCUGAGAGGACGACCAGCCACACUGGAACUGAGACACGGUCCAGACUCCUACGGGAGGCAGCAGUGGGGAAUUUUGGACAAUGGGCGAAAGCCUGAUCCAGCCAUUCCGCGUGAGUGAAGAAGGCCUUCGGGUUGUAAAGCUCUUUCGCAAGGAAAGAAAACUUAUCUCCUAAUACUAGGUGAGGAUGACGGUACCUUGAUAAGAAGCACCGGCUAACUACGUGCCAGCAGCCGCGGUAAUACGUAGGGUGCGAGCGUUAAUCGGAAUUACUGGGCGUAAAGCGUGCGCAGGCGGUUUUGUAAGUCAGAUGUGAAAUCCCCGGGCUCAACCUGGGAACU